CCUGGCAUCAGGGAGGUGGUAGGAGAGCAUGUUACCCAUGUAGAAUGCCCUGUCUCGUCAUGACAGAGCAUGAGGAUGAGUCUGAACUUCUGAUUCUCCUGCUUCUUUUUCCUGAGUGCUGAGAUUACAGCAGCAGUUUCUCAUCCUCUAUUCCUGAUGGAUGGAUUGCCUCUGCUCAGGAAGCCAGGAGACCACACGAGCCAGGGACACUGCCUAGGUGAUGGACUAACUAGUCAUCUCUGUCAUUUUGAUUGAUUUUCACCCUAUUGACUCUAUUUCCGGGAUCAGCUAUGGACUGCAACCUGAAAUCUGGACUUUUUGGAGGCUGACAUGACUGCUCCCUGUCUCUUCAAUCAGAUCAAAUAAGCAGAGACUGUUAAGGACUGCCUCAUUGAACAGCCUUUGACUGGCUCCUAGUAAUCUUUACUAAAGUAGGAAAAACUUGUGAUUGGACAAAAGGCUAUGAUUUCGGCGUCAAAGUAAGAGAUUCUAAUAUCUUGGGCUGGAGCUCUAAAGAUCCAGGAGAAAUCCUUAAAAUUCAAUUGGAAGCAACUCCCUUGGGCACUCAAGAAAUGGGACCCUUACCUACUUUGCUUGUUUUUUUAAUGUUUGAACCCUGCAUUAUAAAUCGUCUGGUUGUGUUUAUUAGGGAAGAGAUUAGUGUCGUGUAAGUGCUUACACUAAGACAACAUCACCAAAGAGUAAAUAUGACUGGGCAUGUAAUGGAAACAAAACCCAGAUAAUUACAGGCUAAGGUACUACGCAUGUACUCGCCCCAAAUUUUGACCAACAUUUCAGCCUCUUUCAAACUGAGAGAUCAACAGCACAAUUAUCAACAUUGAAGAAAUUCCAGAAGACGGAUCUCCAGCUCAUUGUCCCAUUCUACAGGCUGAAAUGUUGAGUCAAAAGGGAAAAUUUUUCUUGAGAUAGAAUCCUCACUAUACAGCUGAUUCAUGAUUGAAGCAGUUACAAGAAGGGGGAAAUGAAAGAAUCAGAGUAAUUUUUUAACCAAUGUUUCUUUUAAUUGACUUAUAACUUAUAUUUUCAAGUUUUAGGCCCAUGUUAACUAAAGCCUCUUAGUGCUUCUCUAGAGAGCUGAGGAAUCUAAAAGUUCCUGACAUUAGCCAUCUGUGAGGGCAGAGAUAAGGAAGAGGGAAGAGAACAAGCAGAAAUCUCUACUAAAUGGAGAGAAAAUCACCAGCUGGCACCUGUGAGAUGAGCUUUGCUUGGAAACUGGGCCAAAUAGUACCAAUCCUUCUCCUGAAUAACUCCUGACCUUUGAUCGAUAGCCUGUAACCCCCACUCCUCAGAACAGACAGGGCAUGAGUUAAUCAUUCUCCCACUGUUAACUGUGGCUAUAUCUCAUAUGGCAGGAAAUUCCAAACUGACUUGAAGAUCAGAUAUUUAUGACAGGGCUGACAGGACCUAGAACCAACCAAUUAUUUUAAAAGUUAAAUACCUCAUCCAAUCCUGAAUCACCAAGAGCGAAACUCCAGGAGAUCCUCGUGAUUUGUCUUUUAAAAACCCAAAGUCUUUGUCUUCUGGGACCACUCCUUGCUGACCAGCAUGGGUGACCCAUUGCUCAAUGGUCAAAAUAAACAAACCUCUUGCAA